rnacentral:lncRNA from 1 species
ACAUCUCUAGGAAUGUUGCACUACAGUUCUGGUACACCUCUGCUUGUCGCUGAGCUAGGCUAUCCUGAUUGCUUUCAACCCGGUCAAAACCCUGUUGAACUCUAGUAGCCACCAUGUCAAUCCUUCUAGUUUGAUUUCUUAAUUCUCGGCGAAUAUCUUCAAAAAAAAUUGGUGGUGGCCCAGAACUUCCAGCUGCAGGAGGAUUGUCAUGGGAUUGUUGAUUAGGCUCGGUUGCAGACUCGGGAGGCACAAUAAUGAACCCUAACCCUCUCGGGUGUGGUGUACCCCCACCCCAUACCUUGUACUUCUUAAUAAGCGAGUGGUCAAUCGCAGCUAAGGGAGGUUGUCUAGCUUCUUCGGCAUCCCAUUUGACUCCAGCUUGUUGACAUAGUCCAG